UACGUAGGGGGCAAGCGUUGUCCGGAAUCAUUGGGCGUAAAGCGCGCGUAGGCGGCCCGGUAAGUCCGCUGUAAAAGUCCAGGGCUCAACCCUGGAAAGCCGGUGGAUACUGUCGGGCUAGAGUCCGGAAGAGGCGGAGUGGAAUUCCUGGUGUAGCGGUGGAAUGCGCAGAUAUCAGGAGGAACACCGAUGGCGAAGGCAGCUCGCUGGGACGGUACUGACGCUGAGGCGCGAAAGCGUGGGGAGCGAACAGG
rnacentral:rRNA from 1 species